rnacentral:rRNA from 1 species
UGGGGAAUAUUGCACAAUGGGCGCAAGCCUGAUGCAGCCAUGCCGCGUGUAUGAAGAAGGCCUUCGGGUUGUAAAGUACUUUCAGCGGGGAGGAAGGGAGUAAAGUUAAUACCUUUACUCAUUGACGUUACCCGCAGAAGAAGCACCGGCUAACUCCGUGCCAGCAGCCGCGGUAAUACGGAGGGUGCAAGCUUUAAUCGGAAUUACUGGGCGUAAAGCGCACGCAGGCGGUUUGUUAAGUCAGAUGUGAAAUCCCCGGGCUCAACCUGGGAACUGCAUCUGAUACUGGCCAGCUUGAGUCUCGUAGAGGGGGGUAGAAUUCCAGGUAUAGCGGUGAAGUGCGUAGAGAUCUAGAGGAAUACCAGUGGCGAAGGCGGCCCCCUGGACGAAGACUGACGCUAAAGUGCGAAAGCGUGGGGAGCAAGCAGG